rnacentral:tRNA from 1 species
GCGGGUGUAGCUCAAGGGUAGAGCGCCAGGUUGCAAGUCUGGAGGUCGCUGGUUCGAGUCCAGUCAGCCGCA